CCUACGGGAGGCAGCAGUCGAGAAUCAUUCACAAUGGGGGAAACCCUGAUGGUGCGACGCCGCGUGGGGGAAUGAAGGUCUUCGGAUUGUAAACCCCUGUCAUGUGGGAGCAAAUUAAAAAGAUAGUACCACAAGAGGAAGAGACGGCUAACUCUGUGCCAGCAGCCGCGGUAAUACAGAGGUCUCAAGCGUUGUUCGGAAUCACGGGGCGUAAGGCGUGCGUAGGCUGUUUCGUAAGUCGUGUGUAAAAGGCGCGGGCUCACCCCGCGGACGGCACAUGAUACUGCGAGACUAGAGUAAUGGAGGGGGAACCGGAAUUCUCGGUGUAGCAGUGAAAUGCGUAGAUAUCGAGAGGAACACUCGUGGCGAAGGCGGGUUCCUGGACAUUAACUGACGCUGAGGCACGAAGGCCAGGGGAGCGAAAGGGAUUAGAUACCCCAGUAGUC
rnacentral:rRNA from 1 species